UACAGAGGUCCCGAGCGUCGUUCGGAUUCACUGGGCGUAAAGGGUGUGUAGGCGGUUGGGUAAGUUUGUUGUGAAAUCUCCAAGCUCAACUUGGAAAAUGCAAUGAAAACUGCCUAGCUAGAGGAUUGUAGGGGGGGCUGGAAUUCCGCGUGUAGCAGUGAAAUGCGUAGAUAUGCGGAGGAACAUCAGUGGCGAAGGCGGCUGCCUGGCCAAACACUGACGCUCAGGUGCGAAAGCGUGGGGAGCAAACAGG
rnacentral:rRNA from 1 species